GUUUUAAUAGUUUAAAUAAAAUAUAGAUCUUGUAAAUCUAUGAUAAUUAUUAUAUUUUAAAACU
rnacentral:tRNA from 1 species